rnacentral:tRNA from 1 species
AAGUUUAGGUUAACUCAAACCAAGAGCCUUCAAAGCCCUAAAUAGGGGCUCAACCCCUAACUCCUG